rnacentral:rRNA from 1 species
CGUAGGGUGCAGGCGUUAAUCGGAAUUACUGGGCGUAAAGCGUGCGCAGGCGGUCUGCUAAGAGAGGUGUGAAAUCCCGGGCUUAACCUGGGAACUGCGCUUCUAACUGGCAGGCUUGAGUGUGGCAGAGGGGGUGGAAUUCCACGUGUAGCAGUGAAAUGCGUAGAGAUGUGGAGGAACACCGAUGGCGAAGGCAGCCCCCUGGGCUAACACUGACGCUCAUGCACGAAAGCGUGGGGAGCAAACAGGAUUAGAUACCCUGGUAGUCCACGCCCUAAACUAUGUCAACUGGUUGUCGGGGAAGCAAUUCCUUGGUAACGAAGCUAACGCGUGAAGUUGACCGCCUGGGGAGUAAGGCCGCAAGGUUA